UACGUAGGGUGCGAGCGUUAAUCGGAAUUACUGGGCGUAAAGCGUGCGCAGGCGGUUCUCCAAGUCCGUUGUGAAAGCCCCGGGCUCAACCUGGGAAUGGCAGUGGAAACUAGGGGACUUGAAUCUGGCAGAGGGGGGUAGAAUUCCACGUGUAGCAGUGAAAUGCGUAGAUAUGUGGAGGAAUACCGAUGGCGAAGGCAGCCCCCUGGGAUAACACUGACGCUCAUGCACGAAAAGCGUGGGGAGCAAACAGGAUUAGAGUAACCCUU
rnacentral:rRNA from 1 species